GUGUGCGUGCGUGCGUGCGUGCGUGCGUGCGUGUCUGUCUGUGUGUGCGUGAUAAAAUAACCAAAACAAACCAAAUAAAAAGCAGAUGUCUAGUCUACUACACGGCGUCUGAUUCAUAAAUGUUGGUGGUAGUAUGAUGGCUGGUAGUUUUGCCUGGUGGCGGGCACAGCAGAAGACUGGGGAGAUCAUUUGUGAGCGAUUAUGUCAGGGAACGCUGAUUAAAAUCAGAAGACGCCACACAUUUCACCGAGGGUAAAGCUGUCCAAACAGCCGCGAGGCGCGGAUCCAGGGUGAACCAGAGGACACCGCCUCGGGCAGCGGGCCUCGCCCGGCACUCUCUCUACCCGCUGGAGCUACUUCACUCCAGUCACCACUGGAAUACAUUAUUAUCAUCUUGAUGAAGACGGAGACAUUUUUUUUUUAAAGCGAAGGAGAGAGAAACGCAGUCGGACUUUCAUGUGUGUGUUACAGGAUAAUUUAAAUGUAAUCAACGAACAGCUAUUUAUUAUUAUUACUAUUAAUAAUGAUAAUAAUAAUAAUAAUAACAAUGCUUUUCAUAUAUGCUGAUUUUUUAUUUUUUAAAUACACCGAAAACAGGCAUUUUCAAAUCAUUCAAAACGAUAUCAUGCAUGACAAAAUGUUAAACCUCGAGUUGGGGCGUGUGGCAUAUAGCCCAUAAAUAUAGGCUACAGGUAUAAGAUGACUAAUGCCACAAUAUUCUCUGAUCUUUUCAAGAACAACGCUUCUUGUUGUACUCAAUUAACUAUGUGAACCAGUUCAGAUUCUUAGAACCAAAACGAGGGCGUGAAAUUAUUCUCGGUGUGGAUGAAACUUGAAAAAUGAGGUGUAUUUCUUAGAAUGAUUCAAAUGAGAAACGUUUUUGGAACAUUUUACCUCGAGUACAGAUUAUGUUUUCGGUAAUGCUUCAGCUCCAGUAACAAGAAAAAGAUAUGAAGGUACUCUGUCAAUUGAGUUAGAGAGAUGCUUAUCCGUGUGAUCGCUGUUCACCUCCUCUCUCUAACGGCGGCAUCGCCAGGCCCACACCGCCUCCAUUUGGACGCUACUGUUUUCGGUUACUCUGCUUUAAACAACAUCAAAUGUAGUGCUCUUAUGGCGUAUUUUACCAAAUAAAUCCAUUGACAGUU